rnacentral:misc_RNA from 1 species
UCAAACUUGGUCAUUUAGAGGAAGUAAAAGUCGUAACAAGGUUUCCGUAGGUGAACCUGCGGAAGGAUCAUUAUCGAAUAAACUAGGUAGAUGCUGUUGCUGUCCCUCUCGGGGGAAACUUGUGCACGCUUCUGCCUUUUUUGUUUAUCCACCUGUGCACACACUGUAGGUCUGGGGAAGUCUGGUAAGGGAGGUAACUCUCUGAACGGCUUCAUUCAUUCCCAGGUCCUAUGUAUUUUUACAUAUACACUAUAGAAAGUAACAGAACGAAUCAAUGGGCAUUAGCCUAUAAACUAUAUACAACUUUCAGCAACGGAUCUCUUGGCUCUCGCAUCGAUGAAGAACGCAGC